UCGAUUUGGAGUUUGUUGCCCUGAGUGAUGGGCUCCGAAGCUAACGCGAUAAAUCGACCGCCUGGGGAGUACGGCCGCAAGGUUAAAACUCAAAUGAAUUGACGGGGGCCCGCACAAGCGGUGGAGCAUGUGGUUUAAUUCGAUGCAACGCGAAGAACCUUACCUGGUCUUGACAUCCAUAGAAUUCUGCAGAGAUGUGGAAGUGCCUUCGGGAGCUAUGAGACAGGUGCUGCAUGGCUGUCGUCAGCUCGUGUUGUGAAAUGUUGGGUUAAGUCCCGCAACGAGCGCAACCCUUAUCCUUUGUUGCCAGCGAUUAGGUCGGGAACUCAAAGGAGACUGCCGUUGAUAAAGCGGAGGAAGGUGGGGACGACGUCAAGUCAUCAUGGCCCUUACGACCAGGGCUACACACGUGCUACAAUGGCGUAUACAAAGGGAGGCGACCUCGCGAGAGCAAGCGGACCUCAUAAAGUACGUCUAAGUCCGGAUUGGAGUCUGCAACUCGACUCCAUGAAGUCGGAAUCGCUAGUAAUCGUGAAUCAGAAUGUCACGGUGAAUACGUUCCCGGGCCU
rnacentral:rRNA from 1 species